UACAGAGGGGGCAAGCGUUGUUCGGAAUUACUGGGCGUAAAGGGCGCGUAGGCGGCCUGCUAAGUCGAACGUGAAAUCCCUGGGCUCAACCCAGGAACUGCGUCCGAUACUGGUUGGCUUGAAUCCGGGAGAGGGACGUGGAAUUCCAGGUGUAGCGGUGAAAUGCGUAGAUACCUGGAGGAACACCGGUGGCGAAGGCGACGUCCUGGACCGGCAUUGACGCUGAGGCGCGAAAGCCAGGGGAGCAAACGGG
rnacentral:rRNA from 1 species